rnacentral:rRNA from 1 species
UACGUAGGGGGCAAGCGUUACCCGGAUUCACUGGGCGUAAAGCGGGUGUAGGCGGCUCGGUAAGUCGGGUGUGAAAUUCCACGGCUCAACCGUGGAAUUGCGCCCGAAACUGCUGAGCUUGGGGCCGGUAGAGGGAGACGGAACUGCCGGUGUAGGGGUGAAAUCCGUAGAUAUCGGCAGGAACGCCGGUGGGGAAGCCGGUCUCCUGGGCCGCGCCCGACGCUGAGGCCCGAAAGCUAGGGGAGCAAACCGG